rnacentral:rRNA from 1 species
UACGUAGGGGCCUAGCGUUGUCCGGAUUUACUGGGCGUAAAGGGCGCGUAGGCGGUAGCACAAGUCAGUUGUGAAAUCUCCGGGCUUAACUCGGAAAGGUCAACUGAUACUGUGCGACUAGAGUGCAGAAGGGGCAACUGGAAUUCUCGGUGUAGCGGUGAAAUGCGUAGAUAUCGAGAGGAACACCUGCGGCGAAGGCGGGUUGCUGGGCUGACACUGACGCUGAGGCGCGAAAGCCAGGGGAGCGAACGGG